rnacentral:rRNA from 1 species
GAUGAACGCUGGCGGCGUGCCUAAUACAUGCAAGUCGAGCGAACAGACGAGGAGCUUGCUCCUCUGACGUUAGCGGCGGACGGGUGAGUAACACGUGGAUAACCUACCUAUAAGACUGGGAUAACUUCGGGAAACCGGAGCUAAUACCGGAUAAUCUAUUGAACCGCAUGGUUCAAUAGUGAAAGACGGUUUUGCUGUCACUUAUAGAUGGAUCCACGCCGCAUUAGCUAGUUGUUAAGGUAACGGCUUACCAAGGCAACGAUGCGUAGCCGACCUGAGAGGGUGAUAGGCCACACGGGAACUGAGACACGGUCCAGACUCCUACGGGAGGCCGCAGUAGAGAAUCGGCCGCAAUGGGCGAAAGCCUGACAGAGCAACGCCGCGUCGGUGAGGAAGGUCUUCGGAUCGUAAACCUCUGUUAUUAGGGAAGAACAAAUGUGUAAGUAACUAUGCACGUCUUGACGGUACCUAGUCAAAAAGCCACGGCUAACUACGUG